rnacentral:misc_RNA from 1 species
GUGAAUCAUCGAAUUUUUGAACGCAAAUUGCACUCUCUUCGGAGAGUAUGCCUGUUUGAGGGUCAGCCUAAAAAAAAUUAACCUUUGUUCUUUUUCCCGGGCCCAUUUCUUUGGAAUUUGGUCAUUUUCAACCCUUUUGCUUUCAGCGGCUUUACAUUUUCUUUCCCGUUCCACUGACGGUUCUCAUAUUUUACUUCUUUAACGUUUCAAGUU